rnacentral:misc_RNA from 1 species
GAUUUAGCUAAAUUUUUUUUUGUAUGCUAGUUAUGUAAAAUAAACAUUUUAUUAGGUUGUUUUAUUUAUAGAGUUAUAAAAUACUCUAUUGUCACGAUCCAACUCUAUGUGUUGAAUUGGUAUCAGGAUUUAGACUAGCAUAAAAUAUUUGAAAUUUAUAGUAAAUCUCAUUAUUCCCAAACUCAUAACCAAGCUUCCAUUCAAGGGGCAACAUAAAAAACAAUAUAAAUCAAUUUGGGCCAACUCAACCCAAUAACUAUUAUACAUGCACAACUACAAAAGCUCAAUUCAAUCCUGAUACCCAACAUAUAUAAUCCAUUUAAUAUAAUUAAUUUCAAUUAAUUAAUAAUUGUGUGGUAUAUCUUCUUUGAUUAGGGCUAUCGAUAUCAAAAGAAGC